rnacentral:misc_RNA from 1 species
GUAUUGAUUGCGUGUUAUCGCAAAAAUGAGGUCAUUCUACACAUUUUAAAAAGGGGUUUGUGUGAAAACGCAAGCCCCCCUCCUGGAUCUGUUCGAUCCCGAAGGGUGCCCACGCGGUGGUGCACAAAAGGGUGAGAUGGAUUUUAUGUGAGAGGACACACUCUGGCGUGCACGACUUUUGCGUUAAAAGUCAGCGACAGCCCUUGCAUGCCUCACACAUUUUGUACGAUAAUGAUCCUUCCGCAGGUUCACCUACGGAAA